rnacentral:rRNA from 1 species
GAUGAACGCUGACAGAAUGCUUAACACAUGCAAGUCUUUGGCGAAGCUGUGCUUGCACCGCCUAGCCAAGGCGGACGGGUGAGUAACGCGUAAGGAACUUGCCCUGCAGUCAGGGAUAACAGACGGAAACGACUGAUAAGACCUGGUAAAGUCAGGCGGACUCAUGUCCAGCCUGAUGAAAAGAGAUGCUGCAGGAGAGCCUUGCGUCCUAUUAGCUUGUUGGUGGGGUAACGGCCCACCAAGGCGAUGAUAGGUAGCCGGCCUGAGAGGGUGGACGGCCACAAGGGGGCUGAGAUACGGCCCUUACGCCUACGGGAGGCAGCAGUGGGGAAUAGUGGACAAUGGGGGCAACCCUGAUCCAGCAAUUCUGUGUGCACGAUGAAGGUUUUCGGAGUGUAAAGUGCUUUCAGCAGGGAAGAAAAAAAUGACGGUACCUGCAGAAGAAGCGACGGCUAAAUACGUG